GGAUUUUGUAAACUAGGCAGGAUUAAUGAAGCACAAGCACUUCUUAAGUCUUUCGAGAAUGAAGGUUAUCUAGUGGAUCUAAAAGGGUAUACAUGUUUGAUUGAUGGUUUCGUUAGAAUUAAAAGAAUUGAUGAAGCACAAUCCAUCUUUAAAUAACAAGGGAUCGGGGCGGGUUAAAUUGAUGAAGCACAAUCCAUCUUUAAAAAAUUGUUUGAGAAUAAUGUGGUUCCGGAUGUUGUAUUGUACACGACUAUGAUUCGAGGUUUAUCUGGAGCCGGUAGGGUGGAAGAGGCAUUGAGUUUGUUGAGAGAUA
rnacentral:lncRNA from 1 species